GCCUACGGCCACACCGGACCAAACUCGCCCAAUCCUGUCCGAUCUCAGAAACUAAGCAGCCCCGGGCCCAGCUAGCAUAUGGAUGGGAGACUGCCUGGGAAUCCCGGGUGCUGUAGCCU
rnacentral:rRNA from 1 species